UAAGGCAUUCUACCAUGCUGAGAAGCAGGAUAAGUCUUUUGCGGCUUAUUUUAUGGAUUUCAAAUGAGUACAUGAGGAGCUGAAUAUUUUGUUGUCUUUUAAUCCUAAUGUGAAAGUUCAGCAAGCUCAAUGGGAGCAAAUGAUGGUUAUUAGUUUUAUUGCAGGCCUUCCUUCAGAAUAUAAGAUUGUAAAUCUUAGAUUUCAUUCAGUUUUAAGAUUUCAUAUCUACAUGACACAUUCAAACGUUUCCUUCGUACAGAGAGUAUUCAAUUUUCACAACUUGCUAGUGGUGCUCUUGUUAGCCAUGAUAAUAGAAGAGGAAACAGAGGAGAGGUACAGGCAAUAAAAGUAAUUAGCGUAAUGGGAUUGAAAAGGAAUCUUUUGUUAUUACUAUCAUGAGCCUAGCCAUACAAGAUAUAAUUGUUUGAAACUUUGAUUUCAUAUGGUGAAUAUGGUAGUGGAGGAUUCUACAGUUUCUUCAUCCUCUGAAAGAACCAUCUCGGUAUCUACAAAGGAGUAUGCACAGUUUUCCCUAUAUCAAGCACCUUUAAAAUUUACCAGUUCCCCAUUCAUUGCUAUCACUGAGUUAGGUAAAUCCACCACACGCCUUGUAUCUUUUUCAUCCAAAUGGAACAUUGAUUCUAAAUAUAUAGAUCAUAUGAAAAGUAAUUCUAAUCUUUUAUUUGCUUGUCGAUCUCAUUCCACUUCUUCUACUGUUACUUUAGUUAAUAGUUCCACUUCUUACAUCAUGGGUUCUGGCACUGCAAACCCAACAUCAUUUGUUUCUUUGUAAUCUGUUUUGUGUCUACCUAAGUUCUCUUUUAAUUUACUUUCUAUUAGUAAAUAUGCUCGCACCUUACAUUGUUCUGUUUCCUUUUUUUCUGAGUAUUGUAUAUUUCAGGAUUUUACGAUGAAGCAAAUUAUUAGUAAGGGAUGAGUCUAGUAGCCUCUACAUCUUGAAUAAACAUGUACCAUGCACUCUUGCUUGCUCCAGUGUCUUGACUCCCCUUGAAAUACAUUACUAAUUAGGCCAUCCCUUUUUGUCUACCUUGAAGAAGUUAUGUCCUCAAUUUUAGUCACUAUCAGUCCUAGAGUGUGAGUUAUGUCAGUUUGCUAAGCAUCAUUGUUUACCUUCUAUUCCUAGAGCCAAUAAACGGGCUACAUCCCUUUUUGAGUUGGUUCACUAUGAUGUUUGGGGUUCUUGUCCUAUUACUUCUAAAACUGAAUUUAGAUAUUUUUUUUUUUACUUUUGUUCAUGAUUACUCUCGUGUACAUGGUUAUAUUC
rnacentral:misc_RNA from 1 species